AUUGAACGCUAGCGGGAUGCCUUACACAUGCAAGUCGAACGGAGUGUGGAACGGGUGAGUAAUGUAUCGGAACGUGCCCAGUAGCGGGGGAUAACUACGCGAAAGCGUAGCUAAUACCGCAUACGUUUGGAGCGGUCGAUAUCGGAUUAGCUAGUUGGUGGGGUAACGGCUCACCAGGGCGACGAUGCCUAGCUUGUUUGAGAGGACGACCGGCCAAACUGGGACUGAGACAAGGCCCAGACUCCUACGGGAGGAAGCAGUGGGGAAUUUUGGACAAUGGGGGAAACCCUGAUCCAGCCAUCCCGUGUGUGCGAUGAAGGCCUUCGGGUUGUAAAGCACUUUUGGCAGGAAAGCGGUACCUGCAGAAUAAGCACCGGCUAACUACGUGCCAGCAGCCGCGGUAAUUC
rnacentral:rRNA from 1 species